AAAGCAGCAGGCGAGCACCGGAAAUGCACACACGAACGCAGUGCGUGCUGUCUGGAGGGAGCCAUUCACAGAAAAUGAGACGUGAUGAACCUACAUAAAUUAGUGAGGACCAGAAAGAGGACACUAGAAUUAUCUAAGGAGCUGCUUGCAUCUGAAACUAGAGGUUGGAUGAGCACUGCUGAAGCUAAGGUUUCUUUGCAUCAAGACCCACAGUGACAACACUGUAAUAUUUGCCUCACCGGGGUCCAGCAGCGCUAGUCAUUAAAUCCAUAUGUGGUCACUUUAGAGGAAAUUCCUCCUGAGACCCAUUGCUGGGAAGAUACGUCUCCUCUCCUUCUAUA